AUUUAUCUGUGCACGAAAGGCUGCUGAGAGAGUUAUGCAUUAUUCAGGCUAAUCAAAGCACGGCUGUAACCAUCAUGGGGGGCGGGAGGGGGGCAGGGAAGCCUGGGGCAGCGGCUCUGGCUCCUGCUGAAGGUGAUUGCAGGCCGGGCAUCGUGAGCAGCAUCUCCUUGGAGCUGUUGCCAUGCCAACGCAUCUGCCUAGGUGAUUGCCACUUGUUGAAAGUUUGCGAUGAUGAACGAGCCGCCAGGAGGGCUGCUGGAGGGCCUCCUAUUAAGCUGCUUUUGCCAAAGGGCGCUCCACGAGCUGCGGAAAAUUUAAAGCGCUGUUUAACGGGUGGGCAGGACGGGUCCACCUCUCCCGAGAUUGCCCUCUGCUGCAGGAAGAGGACGGCUUGACUGUCCGGGUCAGCCCUCAAUGCCUUUCCAAAGCCAGUGCAGGGCCAGCUCUGAACGUCAACGUGUUUGGCUGCACGGAUUCUGCUGCUAGGAAGCACGAAUCUUGUGAUCAGAAUUGCGCAGUCUUUUGCAUUUUUCUUGUGCCUCGCUUCAUUUUUUUUCUAGGUUACCCAAAAGCUGGAAACCCGUUUGAGCGAAGAAAGGGAGGAGUGAGCUGGAGAGGCUUCCAAGCUCCCGUCUGAGGGCCAAACAGAAGUGAUGGGUUUUAAAAUAAAAAGGAUCUACGGCACAAAAAGAGGGCCGAAGUACAAGCAAAGGCAUCAAUGACACGUCGCAAAGCGACGUUUCGCAGAGAUUCAUCUUCUUCCCCGCCAUUCCAGCAAUGCAACAUGAAGGGACAUGCGGUGCAGCUUGAAUGAAGAACGACGUGCGCACGGGUGCAGCUUCCUUUUGAUGCUCUAAUCGAUGCUUCUGGAAAGUUGCCCAUGGUCCAACGGCCACUGGGAGCCCUUGAGGAAAGGAAGGGCCACACGAACCUCUGGGGCCCCCUGCAUUACAUUUCUGAAAGUGCUCUACUUCGCCCUAAUGCCCCCCUUUGAGGAAAGGGCCACUUGCCACCGUUCUGCCUUGGCCAUGCAUCCCGCACACCCGCCAGAAAUGCCUAAUUUCAUUCUGCUGCAGUGCGGAGGGACGGAUUCCUGGCUCCCGUCAACACCACAGCACUUUCAUGGUUUGUUUCAAGGAGAGGAAAAGGUCGGAGAGCACACCACCGGGAGAAGCGGGGCGGCUUUCUCCAGGCUGGUGCUCUCCAGAAGUCUCGGGUUCCCGCUCGCCCAGCGGGCGAAGGAUUGCAGGGGCUGUCACGUGAUGCGGCUGGAACCGCCAGGGCAGUACGCCACGCUUGGCAAACGCUCCCUGCCGCCGACUGCCAGAGGCCAGUGUGAGUUGCAAAAGCCCUUCUGUGACCAGAACGCCGCUGCUUCGUCCCUUCGGCUGCCUUUCCUCACAGCCAGCAGUCCCGGCACCCCCAGGGAAAGGCGAACAAGACCAGGAGGAGCAGCCACUGCAGCUCACCAAAAACGUAAGAAAGAGAAGGUCCACGUUCUUUAUUUUGCAUGAAUACACUGUGAUAGUUUUUAGAGUCCAGCAUACCAACUGCAUGUAAAUACUACAGAUGGGUUGCACCAGAACUGGUGCUCACAAAACUAGUGCAUUUCUCCCCAAAGCGAAGACUAAACCCUUUUAACUCUUCUUAAAAAAAUACAUUAAAGAACGUACCACACAUA